GAAGAUAACUGUGUUAAUGACGGCAGGUGAAAGUACAGGUUAAGAGCUUGUCUUGAGCAAAGAGUAUUAUCUCUUUACACCGUUCUUACACAACAGGCUGAGUGUGUAACCCGUCCCUGCCUCCCUCCCUGAAGACAGCACUUUGUCUGGCAGGUGCCAACUCGAGAAGUGGGACAGGUCACCGUGAGCUUGGGGCUCUGGGUAGGAAAAGCAGAGGAUGAAGAAAAAGAGCUGCUGCAACCUCUGACCUCUUUCCCAAACUGUCUGAUCUCUUCACUCUUAAGAAAAGAACUCUGCCUGGAACCGUGUGGGAGGAGCUGAAAACAGUUAAAUCGGGAACAAAACAAAAAUAAACAUUCAAAAGAAAGAAAAUCAGCUUAUGGGAAGAAAAAAAAACCUAGCAUGAGGGGCUAUCCAAACAUCUUUCAGCUGUGUUUGUUUCAGGUUUGUGGUGGAUUUAUUACUACCACAUGAGACUGCAACAACCCAAAGGAAACGGGUGAAUCCUGUCCAAGAGCUCCGAUGAAAAAAAAACCCCUUCUGAUGGCCUUGGAGGUCACCCCAAGGUCAACACAAGCAGACUUGUUAAUGCGUGGGUGAUGUCAUGACCAGGAGGUCUCCAGUGAUGAUGUCAGGCUAUAUACUAAUGACUGUGUGUGUGUGUUAGAGAGAGUGAAUGCAUGCUGUGGGUGUGUUUCUGUGUCUUUUGGGGGAGGUGGGAGACAGAUGAUGUGUCUAUUUGUUUCUGUUUUGGUUCGCUGACAGCACACAGACACCCUCUGUGUAUGUGGGGUCCAGGAAGUAAAAAAGUCUCUAAGCAGAGGAGGUGUCUCUGAGGACAGGACCCCGUAACUCAUCU